rnacentral:misc_RNA from 1 species
UUAAAAGUGCCCUUUUGAAAAUCCCUGGAAUGGUGGCUAAACCUAUAGCGAUAUAUCCAACACUCUUUUUUGUAACAAAACAGAGCAAAACAACGCAGUUGGGCACAAAAUGGGAGACAAGAAUGGCUGUGCAAGAACUGACCAGUUAACGUGCUGGUGGCGCACUUAACAUUUCUGCUUCUUUCAAUAUCGUUUUCUCGAGUUGCCGG